CGGGGAACCAGGAGUAGCAGGCUUUGGCUGAGGCCUGUGAAGGCCAGAGUAUGAGGAUACAUAAAUUCUGAGCUGAGUAAGCAAAUCAGGGAAAAAGAGAACCAAAAAAAUCCGGUAAAAACCCUCUGCAGAAUGGAGUAUCUUGGAGAAAAGAGAGGAUGGUGUGACCCCAAGUGCAACAGAAUGAUCUCAGGAGAAUGACAGAUAACUCCGAUGUCAUUUAAGGAUAGCUGACAUAAGACAAUACUUGCCUAAUGUCAUAUAUCAAGGCAAUGAAGACUCAACACACGGAUCCAUUGUACAUCAUCUAGCUGUAGCUAAAAUUAAUGCUAAUUAUUAUGUAUAAGCAGGAGCUCUAAGUGAGUUUCAAUUCCACACGGGGAACAACACCUUCGUAGAAGU